CCCUUAGAUGUUCUGGGCCGCACACGCGCUACACUGAAGGAGGCAGCGUGUACUCCUGGAUCGAAAGAUUUGGGUAACCCGCGAAUCUCCUUCGUGCUAGGGAUUGAGGUUUGCAAUUAUCCUUCAUGAACGAGGAAUUCCCAGUAAGUGCAAGUCAUAAGCUUGCGCUGACUACGUCCCUGCCCUUUGUACACACCGCCCGUCGCUACUACCGAUUGAAUGGUCCGGUGAAAUCUUCGGAUCUGAGAGAUGUCUGAUUAAUUUCGGACGCCUUUUGGAAAAGUUGUUUAAACCUUACCAUUUAGAGGAAGGUGAAGUCGUAACA
rnacentral:rRNA from 1 species